rnacentral:lncRNA from 1 species
GUAUCAGGAGUAUAGGAGUAUAUAGUUGCAAAAUGAUAUCUAGCUUCGACAAGCAUGUAAGUACUCAACCAACAAUCAUUAUACAUUAUACAGAAUGGCAUUCUCAAAUCUCAAUUGCAUGCCUCUUAACUCUAGUUUAUUUCCUUCUCAUGUGCAUUCUCAAACAACUAAAUAUCCUCUGCUUUUAGUGGGACAUCAUCGAUCAGGGAGUGAUGGCUGGAGUCUAUCAUCACACCAUGGAUAGGAACAUCAAUGCCAUGACAUUGUUGUUGAUCUGGAAUGCAAUGACACAAACACGCAGAGCUUCAUGUGUAACAAGUUUCAACUGUUAUACUGAAGAAACCUUAUGAUG